CGAUGCAUAGGAAGGAAGUCCCGUCAUUUACACGUAGAAAAAAAUAAUUUAUUCUGCGCAGUAGAGUUAGUGAAAACCACAAGCUGUGCUCUGCGUGCGGCUGACACAUCUGCUGAUCACUAACUUACCAGUAUACAAAGGGACACAAAGCAAACCUAGAUCCUGGGAUCUAAGGGAUCCAAGGGAUCCACAUGGAACAAAUGGAUUCAGUAAUUCCUGCAGAUCUGAUGAAGUGUCCCCAAGAUCAAAAUCAGAGAGAUUCAUAAAAUUGCGUUGAUGCGGAGAGCCCAAUAUCAUCACCUCUGUUUUAUCAGAAUUUAACAGAUCAUUUGUAGACAGCCAGCAUUUACUAGUAUUGAAACAGACAGUUAGCUUUGCCACCGUUGAUGAAGUUUCUGGUUUUAAAGAUAAAUAAAGCUGAAUAUCAUCAGCAUAACAGUGAAAAUGUGUUCACGCAUAGUAUCACCUAAAGGCAACAUAUACAGUGAGAAAAGGACUGGUCCUAGGACUGAGCCAUGUGGCACCCCAUAAAGAACUUAAGACUGUGUGGAUUUUCCAUUCCCACUUUGAACAAACUGUAACCUGUCAGAAAGAUGGGAACCAUGAUAAAGCUGUCCCUGACAAUCCCACUACACUUUCAAGACGUCCAAGUAGUAUUGUAUGAUCAGUUAUGUCGAAAGCAGCACAUAAGUCUAAAAGAAAAAGAAUGCAGGAAGAGCCUGAAUCACAGAAAGACAAAAUAUCAUUCACAGCCCUAACAAGGGCUGUCUCAAUGCUAUGGGCAGAGCGAAAACCAGACUGACAUUUCUCACAUAUAUUAUUUAAGGCAAGAAAUUAUUUUAAUUGGUUUGGUACUCCCCGUUCUAGGAUCUUAGAUAAAAAGGGCAAAUGAGAAAUUGGCCUAUAGUUAGUGAGCACUUGGAGGUCUAAAGUCGAUUUUUUAAGUAAUGCAUUCCCCACAGCUAACUUAAAAGAUUUUGGAACAGUACCAGAAGAGGGGAACCAUUUAUAACAGUUAACAUAAAACCGUUGAUUUCAGUUAGUACUUCUUUUAGCAAUUGAGUUGGAUUGGGGUCUAGAGUGCAAGUAGUGGAUUUCAUUUUCAUAAUUAAAUUGGUCAGUCUAGCUGAUUCAACAAGGAGAAAGACUGAAGACCUUCUGAGGACGACUUCCCAGGUUUUAAGAGGGGCAAUGGAAUCUAUGAUAUUUGACAAUGUUGUAUUGUAUGAAUUAGAGAAGUCACCUACGGUUCCAGACUGAUUUAGUGGUGAAGCAUAAAGAGCUUCAGAGAUCUUAAUAAUAGAUGACUAAUUUAUUAGCCUAGUCUGGACAAUGGAAAGUGAGUUUUUUUUAAUAGUACUAGUUAAAGCUAUAUUGAAAAGAAUGAUAGAAUGACUGAAAAAGUUGGGUCUAAAAUAGACAAGUUCUGACUAUUCAUGCCAUGAGAAAUAACAACGUAUGUCAGUGAAUGCAAGUUGGGCCGGUUAUAAGCUGAUUAAAACCAAGAGAGUCUAAUAGCUGCUUAAAUUCACGGGACAAUGGAUCUGAGUUAGUGUUGACAUGGAUAUUAAAAGUCAUCUAGCAGCACAAUGACCCUAUCAUGUGAAAUAGCCAUAGUUGAUAGAAAAUCAACAAUUUCAGUCAGAAAAAGAGACUUUGGUUUUGGAAGAUGAUAAAUAAUUGCAAUUACAAACAUGGUUUAAUAUUAAUAGAAAAAGACAAAUGUUCAAAGGAGGAAUAAGUAUUGCUGUUUUCUUUUUUAAUGCUAUACUCUCUGCCCAUAAUCAAAGCAAUAUCUCCUCCACGGCCAGAUAGACGGGCUCUGUGUAAGAAUGUGAAGCCUGAAGGAGAUCCUCAACCGCGUUUACCCUGACCCUGUACUAAAGCUGGGGGAUCACUAUGUUUUCAUUGCAGUUGGUACUAAAAUGAUCAGCAGAACUAGCUACUGUCGUGGUCAGCUUAGUGCAGAACUAAAGGUUACCUUCUCAAGUUCGUAGCAAUUGGUCGGUUGAGCCUGAUUGUUUUGUUUAAUCACAGGAAAGCUGUCACAGACAUUGAAGGGCUUUCAGAACAAUAUGAACUUGUAAAAAUGAUACAGCCAACAUUUUGUACAACUUUAGAUGUAUUAUAAUGUGAAUUUAGUCGUGUUUAUGUUGCUUGCAAACUGGAAAGACCAGGAUUGAUCAGGUCUACCCAGUCCAUUAUAAAACGAUACAGACAUUGUGUAAUCGCUGUAAACAAACUUAUUAAAAAUUGAAUUGACAUACUCGCUGAUUAAUCAAUGAAUGCUUAAUUGAGCCACGGGGAUCAAUAAUUCAUUUUGACAUCUACUCACUGUAUUACUGUAUAUUUAAUAUUCAAAAUAAAGAGUACAUUUGUA